rnacentral:ncRNA from 1 species
CAAAGGUUUGGUCCUAGCCUUAUUAUUAGUUGUCAGUAAGAUUAUACAUGCAAGUAUCCGCCAACCAGUGAAAAUGCCCUUAUACUAGUCCACAUUAAAUGGACCCAAAGGAGCCGAUAUCAAGCACACCUAAUGGUAGCUCAAAACAUCUUGCUCAGCCACACCCCCACGGGAUACAGCAGUAGUAAAAAUUAAGCAAUAAACGAAAGUUUGACUAAGCUACACUGAUAGAGGGUUGGUUAAUUUCGUGCCAGCCACCGCGGUCAUACGAUUGACCCAAACUAAUAAUCAAACGGCGUAAAGUGUGGUUAAACACUCACUAUUAUAAUAAAGUUAAACUAGCUCUCAGCCGUAAAAAGCUAAAGAUUAGUGGUAAAACAAUUACUAACGUAACUCUACCAACAGUGAAUCCACGAUAGCUAAGACACAAACUGGGAUUAGAUACCCCACUAUGCUUAGCCGUAAACUUUGAUGAUUAGUAACAAAAACAUCCGCCAGAGAACUACAAGCCAAUGCUUAAAACUCAAAGGACUUGGCGGUGCUUUAUACCCCCUAGAGGAGCCUGUUACAUAAUCGAUAAACCCCGAUAAACCCUACCAUCACUUGCUAAACCAGUCUAUAUACCGCCAUCUUCAGCAAACCCUUAAAAGGAACAAUAGUAAGCUUAAACGUACUCACAAAAACGUUAGGUCAAGGUGUAACCUAUGUGAUGGAGCUCAAUGGGCUACAUUUUCUAUACAAGAACAAAUACGGACUCACAUAUGAAAAUUAUGCGAUUAAGGAGGAUUUAGAAGUAAGCCAGGAGUAGAGAGCCUGACUGAACUUGGCCAUGAAGCACGCACACACCGCCCGUCACCCUCCUCAAAUAUUUUAAAUCCAUAACCAUAUUAAAUUUUAACAAAUAUGAGAGGAGACAAGUCGUAACAAGGUAAGCAUACUGGAAAGUGUGCUUGGAAUAUU